rnacentral:rRNA from 1 species
GGACUACACGGGUUUCUAAUCCUGUUUGCUCCCCAUGCUUUCGAACCUGAACGUCGGUGCUGGACCAGGAAGCCGCUUUCGCCACUGGUGUUCCUUCCGAUAUCUACGCAUUUCACCGCUACACCGGAAAUUCCGCUUCCCUCUUCCGCACCCUAGCUGAACAGUCUCGAAUGCAAUUCCCAGGUUGAGCCCGGGGCUUUCACAUCCGACUUAUCCAACCGUCUACGUUCGCUUUACGCCCAGUAAUUCCGAUUAACGCUUGCACCCUCUGUAUUACCGCGGCUGCUGGCAC